AUACAUGCAGUCGAGCGGACAGAAGGGAGCUUGCUCCCGGAUGUUAGCGGCGGACGGGUGAGUAACACGUGGGUAACCUGCCUGUAAGACUGGGAUAACUCCGGGAAACCGGAGCUAAUACCGGAUAGUUCCUUGAACCGCAUGGUUCAAGGAUGAAAGACGGUUUCGGCUGUCACUUACAGAUGGACCCGCGGCGCAUUAGCUAGUUGGUGGGGUAAUGGCUCACCAAGGCGACGAUGCGUAGCCGACCUGAGAGGGUGAUCGGCCACACUGGGACUGAGACACGGCCCAGACUCCUACGGGAGGCAGCAGUAGGGAAUCUUCCGCAAUGGACGAAAGUCUGACGGAGCAACGCCGCGUGAGUGAUGAAGGUUUUCGGAUCGUAAAGCUCUGUUGUUAGGGAAGAACAAGUGCGAGAGUAACUGCUCGCACCUUGACGGUACCUAACCAGAAAGCCACGGCUAACUACGUGCCAGCAGCCGCGGUAAUACGUAGGUGGCAAGCGUUGUCCGGAAUUAUUGGGCGUAAAGGGCUCGCAGGCGGUUUCUUAAGUCUGAUGUGAAAGCCCCCGGCUCAACCGGGGAGGGUCAUUGGAAACUGGGAAACUUGAGUGCAGAAGAGGAGAGUGGAAUUCCACGUGUAGCGGUGAAAUGCGUAGAGAUGUGGAGGAACACCAGUGG
rnacentral:rRNA from 1 species